rnacentral:rRNA from 1 species
AGUGAACGCUGGCGGUAGGCCUAACACAUGCAAGUCGAACGGCAGCACAGUAAGAGCUUGCUCUUACGGGUGGCGAGUGGCGGACGGGUGAGGAAUACAUCGGAAUCUACUUUUUCGUGGGGGAUAACGUAGGGAAACUUACGCUAAUACCGCAUACGACCUACGGGUGAAAGCAGGGGAUCUUCGGACCUUGCGCGAUUGAAUGAGCCGAUGUCGGAUUAGCUAGUUGGCGGGGUAAAGGCCCACCAAGGCGACGAUCCGUAGCUGGUCUGAGAGGAUGAUCAGCCACACUGGAACUGAGACACGGUCCAGAAUCCUACGGGAGGCAGCAGUGGGGAAUAUAGGACAAUGGGCGCAAGCCUGAUCCAGCCAUACCGCGUGGGUGAAGAAGGCCUUCGGGUUGUAAAGCCCUUUUGUUGGGAAAGAAAAGCAGCAGGUUAAUACCCCGCUGUUCUGACGGUACCCAAAGAAUAAGCACCGGCUAACUUCGG